rnacentral:rRNA from 1 species
UAUGCUUAACACAUGCAAGUCGAACGAGAAGGUUUUGAAUGAUCCUUCGGGUGAAAUUAGAACUGGAAAGUGGCGAACGGGUGAGUAACGCGUGGGUAACCUGCCCUAUGGAAAGGAAUAGCCUCGGGAAACUGGGAGUAAAGCCUUAUAUUAUGGUUUUGUCGCAUGGCAAGAUCAUGAAAACUCCGGUGCCAUAGGAUGGACCCGCGUCCCAUUAGCUAGUUGGUGAGAUAACAGCCCACCAAGGCGACGAUGGGUAACCGGUCUGAGAGGGCGAACGGUCACACUGGAACUGAGACACGGUCCAGACUCCUACGGGAGGCAGCAGUGGGGAAUAUUGCGCAAUGGGGGCAACCCUGACGCAGCAAUACCGCGUGAGUGAAGAAGGUUUUCGGGUCGUAAAGCUCUGUUAUUGGGGAAGAAAACAUGACGGUACCCAAUGAGGAAGUCCCGGCUAACUACGUGCCAGCAGCCGCGGUAAUACGUAGGGGACAAGCGUUGUCCGGAAUGACUGGGCGUAAAGGGCGCGUAGGCGGUCUAUUAAGUCUGAUGUGAAAGGUACCGGCUCAACCGGUGAAGUGCAUUGGAAACUGGUAGACUUGAGUAUUGGAGAGGCAAGUGGAAUUCCUAGUGUAGCGGUGAAAUGCGUAGAUAUUAGGAGGA